rnacentral:rRNA from 1 species
AAAUUGAAGAGUUUGAUCAUGGCUCAGAUUGAACGCUGGCGGCAGGCCUAACACAUGCAAGUCGAACGGUAACAGGAAGCAGCUUGCUGCUUUGCUGACGAGUGGCGGACGGGUGAGUAAUGUCUGGGAAACUGCCUGAUGGAGGGGGAUAACUACUGGAAACGGUGGCUAAUACCGCAUAACGUCGCAAGACCAAAGAGGGGGACCUUCGGGCCUCUUGCCAUCAGAUGUGCCCAGAUGGGAUUAGCUUGUUGGUGAGGUAACGGCUCACCAAGGCGACGAUCCCUAGCUGGUCUGAGAGGAUGACCAGCCACACUGGAACUGAGACACGGUCCAGACUCCUACGGGAGGCAGCAGUGGGGAAUAUUGCACAAUGGGCGCAAGCCUGAUGCAGCCAUGCCGCGUGUAUGAAGAAGGCCUUCGGGUUGUAAAGUACUUUCAGCGGAGAGGAAGGUGUUGUGGUUAAUAACCGCAGCAAUUGACGUUACCCGCAGAAGAAGCACCGGCUAACUCCGUGCCAGCAGCCGCGGUAAUACGGAGGGUGCAAGCGUUAAUCGGAAUUACUGGGCGUAAAGCGCACGCAGGCGGUCUGUCAAGUCGGAUGUGAAAUCCCCGGGCUCAACCUGGGAACUGCAUUCGAAACUGGCAGGCUUGAGUCUUGUAGAGGGGGGUAGAAUUCCAGGUGUAGCGGUGAAAUGCGUAGAGAUCUGGAGGAAUACCGGUGGCGAAGGCGGCCCCCUGGACAAAGACUGACGCUCAGGUGCGAAAGCGUGGGGAGCAAACAGGAUUAGAUACCCUGGUAGUCCACGCCGUAAACGAUGUCUACUUGGAGGUUGUGCCCUUGAGGCGUGGCUUCCGGAGCUAACGCGUUAAGUAGACCGCCUGGGGAGUACGGCCGCAAGGUUAAAACUCAAAUGAAUUGACGGGGGCCCGCACAAGCGGUGGAGCAUGUGGUUUAAUUCGAUGCAACGCGAAGAACCUUACCUGGUCUUGACAUCCACAGAACUUUCCAGAGAUGGAUUGGUGCCUUCGGGAACUGUGAGACAGGUGCUGCAUGGCUGUCGUCAGCUCGUGUUGUGAAAUGUUGGGUUAAGUCCCGCAACGAGCGCAACCCUUAUCCUUUGUUGCCAGCGGUUAGGCCGGGAACUCAAAGGAGACUGCCAGUGAUAAACUGGAGGAAGGUGGGGAUGACGUCAAGUCAUCAUGGCCCUUACGACCAGGGCUACACACGUGCUACAAUGGCGCAUACAAAGAGAAGCGACCUCGCGAGAGCAAGCGGACCUCAUAAAGUGCGUCGUAGUCCGGAUUGGAGUCUGCAACUCGACUCCAUGAAGUCGGAAUCGCUAGUAAUCGUGGAUCAGAAUGCCACGGUGAAUACGUUCCCGGGCCUUGUACACACCGCCCGUCACACCAUGGGAGUGGGUUGCAAAAGAAGUAGGUAGCUUAACCUUCGGGAGGGCGCUUACCACUUUGUGAUUCAUGACUGGGGUGAAGUCGUAACAAGGUAACCGUAGGGGAACCUGCGGUUGGAUCACCUCCUUACCUUAAAGAAGC